GACGAACGCUGGCGGCGUGCUUAACACAUGCAAGUCGAACGGAAAGGCCCUGCUUUUGUGGGGUGCUCGAGUGGCGAACGGGUGAGUAACACGUGAGUAACCUGCCCUUGACUUUGGGAUAACUUCAGGAAACUGGGGCUAAUACCGGAUAGGAGCUCCUGCUGCAUGGUGGGGGUUGGAAAGUUUCGGCGGUUGGGGAUGGACUCGCGGCUUAUCAGCUUGUUGGUGGGGUAGUGGCUUACCAAGGCUUUGACGGGUAGCCGGUCUGAGAGGGUGACCGGCCACAUUGGGACUGAGAUGCGGCCCAGACUCCUACGGGAGGCAGCAGUGGGGAAUAUUGCACAAUGGGCGGAAGCCUGAUGCAGCAACGCCGCGUGCGGGAUGACGGCCUUCGGGUUGUAAACCGCUUUCGCCUGUGACGAAGCGUGAGUGACGGUAAUGGGUAAAGAAGCACCGGCUAACUACGUG
rnacentral:rRNA from 1 species